rnacentral:rRNA from 1 species
UACGUAGGGAGCAAGCGUUGUUCGGAUUUACUGGGCGUAAAGGGCGCGUAGGCGGCGCGGUAAGUCACUUGUGAAAUCUCUGAGCUUAACUCAGAACGGCCAAGUGAUACUGCAGUGCUAGAGUGCAGAAAGGGCAAUCGGAAUUCUUGGUGUAGCGGUGAAAUGCGUAGAUAUCAAGAGGAACACCUGAGGCGAAGGCGGGUUGCUAGGCUGACACUGACGCUGAUGCGCGAAAGCCAGGGGAGCAAACGGG